rnacentral:rRNA from 1 species
AGCUCCAAUAGCGUAUAUUAAAGUUGUUGCGGUUAAAAAGCUCGUAGUUGGAGUUCUGCCAGGUGACGCUCGUCCGCCAAGUGGUGUGUACAGGGCGUGCAUCUGGCCUUUCAAGGGGAACGUGUUGCACUUUAUUGUGUGGCGCGAGAUCCUUGACUUACUUUGAGGAAAUUAGAGUGUUUCAAGCAGGCGUGCGCCUU